rnacentral:lncRNA from 1 species
AUUUAGGGUUUAGAUUUUAGGAUUUAAGGUUUAUGGUUUAGAGUUUUGGGUUUAGGCUUUAGGGUUUACGUUUAGGAUCUAGGGUUUAUUGUUUAGAAUUUGGGUUUAUGGUUUAAGAUUUAGAGUUUAGAUUUAAGGAUUAAGGUUUUUGGUUUAAUGUUUUGGAUUUAGGGUUUAUGGUUUUAGAGUUUGGGUUUAAGAUUUAAGAUUUAGAGUUUAGAUUUUAGGAUUGAAGUUUAUGGUUUAAUGUUUUGGAUUUAUGGUUUAUGGUUUUAGAGUUUAGGUUUUUAAAAUUUAGAAUUUUGUAGACGAUGUUAAUUAAUGUGGUUGUUAUUUUUUUCAGCUAUUUAAAUUUUUAUUUUUAUUGUCUUUUUAACUAUUUGUACAUGACACUUUAGUUGGUAAUAAAAAGUGUAG